rnacentral:rRNA from 1 species
AGUGAACGCUGGCGGUAGGCCUAACACAUGCAAGUCGAACGGCAGCACAGUAAGAGCUUGCUCUUACGGGUGGCGAGUGGCGGACGGGUGAGGAAUACAUCGGAAUCUACUUUUUCGUGGGGGAUAACGUAGGGAAACUUACGCUAAUACCGCAUACGACCUACGGGUGAAAGCAGGGGAUCUUCGGACCUUGUGCGAUUGAAUGAGCCGAUGUCGGAUUAGCUAGUUGGCGGGGUAAAGGCCCACCAAGGCGACGAUCCGUAGCUGGUCUGAGAGGAUGAUCAGCCACACUGGAACUGAGACACGGUCCAGACUCCUACGGGAGGCAGCAGUGGGGAAUAUUGGACAAUGGGCGCAAGCCUGAUCCAGCCAUACUGCGUGGGUGAAGAAGGCCUUCGGGUUGUAAAGCCCUUUUGUUGGGAAAGAAAAGCAGCAGGUUAAUACCCCGCUGUUCUGACGGUACCCAAAGAAUAAGCACCGGCUAACUUCGUG